UGACAUGUUAGGUUGCUGGUUUGUAAUUUGGACAAUGUUUGAUCAUAUCAUUUGAAGUGAAAUUUAAAUAUUUUCCAAAUUCCAUCUCCAAAGUAUUUAUGAAAGUUAACUUAUUCAUUAAUCUAUAUGUUUGGGUUCAGUAACAUUUUCAAACAUGUUUGAAAAUGACAUAUUCAGAUUCCUUGGAUUUUUCUGAUACUUUUUCACAUAUAAAUCAUUUUCAUUGGAGUUACAGAUUAAUUUCUAUGAUUUUUAGAAGUUUUGGCAUUUUUCUGGAAUUCUUUUAAAUCACAAAACUCUU
rnacentral:lncRNA from 1 species